rnacentral:rRNA from 1 species
AACGAACGCUGGCGGCAGGCUUAACACAUGCAAGUCGAACGCAUCCUUCGGGGUGAGUGGCAGACGGGUGAGUAACGCGUGGGAACGUGCCCUUCAGUUCGGAAUAACCCAGGGAAACUUGGGCUAAUACCGGAUACGCCCGAAAGGGGAAAGAUUGAUCGCUGAAGGAUCGGCCCGCGUCUGAUUAGCUGGUUGGUGGGGUAAUGGCCCACCAAGGCGACGAUCAGUAGCUGGUCUGAGAGGAUGAUCAGCCACAUUGGGACUGAGACACGGCCCAAACUCCUACGGGAGGCAGCAGUGGGGAAUAUUGGACAAUGGGCGCAAGCCUGAUCCAGCCAUGCCGCGUGAGUGAUGAAGGCCUUAGGGUUGUAAAGCUCUUUCGGCGGGGACGAUAAUGACGGUACCCGCAGAAGAAGCCCCGGCUAACUUCGUGCCAGCAGCCGCCGCUGU